CUUAAUCAUUGCAUACCCUUUCAAUUGUCCAUUUUAUUUUCCAUCAUUAAUACUAACGUGAGGAAAGGUAUUGGAAUUGUGCAAAUCUUCUUGGUUACAGCAAAACCAAUUCAACACUUUUUCAAUUUUUACACGUUUCUUCAUUCCAAUACACACAUUUUUCAUCUCUUUCCCUCUCCCUCUCUCUCUCUCUCUCACAGACAAAACUUAACCCUUCUUUCUUUCUUUCUUUCUUCCAUUUUCACUCCUCUCUCUUUUUCCUUCAAACCCUUGAACCACCGCCUGUUUACGGCCACCACACAUCCGCCAACACUGUCACUCCGCUGCGCGGGACCAAACAACAACCACCACUUUCAGAUUAUACGCGAUUAUUUCUCUUUUCCUUUCACUCUAUUGAUUUCAGGGUUUGUGCUUCUAAUCCUCAUUGUUUUGAUUUUCGAUUUUAGGUUUUGCCAUCAAAAAACAUGUCUUAUUGCUUAUUUCUGACCACUGUGAAUCGUAUCCCUUGCAAGCUUAUUAUAAGAGUAUUUGAAAGAAGAAAACACUCAGAUCCUGCAACAACAAACAAAUUACAUGAGUUUCAAUUUUUCAAUCUCUUCUUAUUGUUGAUUUAAGGAUUGCAAUCAUGGUGUUUGGAACAAACUUCAUAGGUAAAGCAAACUGGAAGCCCUUACUUUCGGUCAACAAAAUGAUGCAAACACUCUAACAUUUUCUCAAUAUGAUGCAAUUGUUGCUGAACCUGAACAAGAACCAAAAUCAUAUGGAAACUCACCACUUCCCUUAGCUGUAGAUAGAACAAGAAGAAAAGAUCCUUUAGAUGGCUUCAUUGUAUACACUAAUGAAUGGAAUAUAAGUGACCACCAUUAUUGUGUUGGGAUUUGAAGAAAAUGUUGUCAGGACCAAUUGGAUUACAUAAUCAAGAUCAAAAGUUGUUUUACAAAGACAAAUAAAGAGAUUCAAAGGCUUUUUUUUGACAUAGUUGGUGUAAAGAGAUUCCAAUUAAAUUAAGCUUGAUGCGACUAUUGACAAUAUAUUUACCACUUGAAGGACAUCUUGCAGAAUGUAGUUUGUUGCUGUUAGUUAAAUCCUUUCCCUUUAUCAAAGUACACAAAUAUUUGGAAAAGUAAGCUGAAGAUGGUUUAACUAUAUUAAAAAUAAUAUAUGCGGUUGGUUUACACUAUAAACUA